rnacentral:rRNA from 1 species
AUGAACGCUGGCGGCGUGCCUAAUACAUGCAAGUCGAGCGAACAGACGAGGAGCUUGCUCCUCUGACGUUAGCGGCGGACGGGUGAGUAACACGUGGAUAACCUACCUAUAAGACUGGGAUAACUUCUGGAAACCGGAGCUAAUACCGGAUAAUAUAUUGAACCGCAUGGUUCAAUAGUGAAAGACGGUUUUGCUGUCACUUAUAGAUGGGUCCGCGCCGCAUUAGCUAGUUGGUAAGGUAACGGCUUACCAAGGCAACGAUGCGUAGCCGACCUGAGAGGGUGAUCGGCCACACUGGAACUGAGACACGGUCCAGACUCCUACGGGAGGCAGCAGUAGGGAAUCUUCCGCAAUGGGCGAAAGCCUGACGGAGCAACGCCGCGUGAGUGAUGAAGGUCUUCGGAUCGUAAAACUCUGUUAUUAGGGAAGAACAAAUGUGUAAGUAACUAUGCACGCCUUGACGGUACCUAAUCAGAAAGCCACGGCUAACUACGUG